UGGGGAAUAUUGCGCAAUGGGCGAAAGCCUGACGCAGCGACGCCGCGUGGGGGAUGACGGCCUUCGGGUUGUAAACCUCUUUCAGCAGGGACGAAGCGAAAGUGACGGUACCUGAAGAAGAAGCACCGGCCAACUACGUGCCAGCAGCCGCGGUAAUACGUAGGGUGCAAGCGUUGUCCGGAAUUAUUGGGCGUAAAGAGCUCGUAGGCGGUUCGUCGCGUCGGCUGUGAAAUCCCGAGGCUCAACCUCGGGUCUGCAGUCGAUACGGGCGGACUUGAGUUCGGCAGGGGAGACUGGAAUUCCUGGUGUAGCGGUGAAAUGCGCAGAUAUCAGGAGGAACACCGGUGGCGAAGGCGGGUCUCUGGGCCGAAACUGACGCUGAGGAGCGAAAGCGUGGGGA
rnacentral:rRNA from 1 species